rnacentral:ncRNA from 1 species
CCCGCUGAAUUUAAGCAUAUUACUGAGCGGAGGAAAAGAUGAUGCAAUGAUUCCCCUAGUAACGGCGAGUGAAGCGGGAAGAGAUCAAGGUGAAAAUCGUCAGUCCCCUAUUUGGCCUCACGAAGUGUAGCCUCUAGUGGCGUUGCCUGUCGGAGGGCAGGUAUACGUUUCUUGGAACAGGACUUCAGACUGGGUGACAGUCCAGUCCUUUCUCCUGCUGGAUGCUCGGCGAAGUUUGUAAGCACUGGGUUGACUCGACACUGAUUUGCACGUGCGGCAGUCACCUCUUUUGGCUCCAUCACUGCGCGACACUGAACGUGAGG